rnacentral:rRNA from 1 species
AGCAGCCGCGGUAAUUCCAGCUCCAAUAGCGUAUAUUAAAGUUGUUGCAGUUAAAAAGCUCGUAGUUGAAUUUCGGGAUCAGUACGCUGGUCAUGCCUUUGGUAUGCACUGGUGUCACUGGUUUCUCCCUUCUGAAGAACCGUGAUGUCAUUAAUUUGGUGUCGCGGGGAAUCAGGACUGUUACUUUGAAAAAAUUAGAGUGUUUAAAGCAGGCUCACGCUUGAAUACAUUAGCAUGGAAUAAUGAAAUAGGACGUUUGACCCUAUUUUGUUGGUUUCUAGGAUCGACGUAAUGAUUAAUAGGGAUAGUUGGGGGCAUUAGUAUUCAAUUGUCAGAGGUGAAAUUCUUGGAUUUAUUGAAGACUAACUACUGCGAAAGCAUUUGCCAAGGAUGUUUUCAUUAAUCAAGAACGAAAGUUAGGGGAUCGAAGACGAUCAGAUACCGUCGUAGUCUUAACCAUAAACUAUGCCGACUAGGGAUCGGAUGAUGUUAAUUUUAUAAUGACUC